UAGCUCAGCUGAAAAGCUGAGCUAUUCAUAUGAGUAAAUGGUAGAAUGAGUGUCCGUCUGUCUGUCUGUCUGUCUGUCUGUCUGUCUGUCUGUCUGUCUGUCUGUCUGUCUGUCUGUCUGUCUGUCUGUCUGUCCGUUAAACAGGCACGUUUCAAAACUAUGGCGGAUAGGCGAUAGAUUUUCCCUCUGAGGCGUUGAGACCCUUCAGGACUCCUGAAUAGACCAAAUGUGGGUCCGGCAGGAUGAGCGGUUUGGCCACUAGGUGGCACCAAGCGAAAUUUUCCAAAAACUUUUCCAGCAGCUGAUUUCUCAGUUGGGGAUCAUGAAUCAAAUCUAAUUUUAUAGAGCAAAGCUUUCUCUUUCAUUAUCAAUAGGCGUAGUUCAUGAAUUUCUCACCAGGUGGUGUUACUGGCGCAAUUUAGUGAGCACCCCCCAAGAAGAGCAUUUUAAAUUUCGCGCGAGUUAUCCCACGUCCAAUCACACAUGCAGCGAACGUCACGUCUCGAGUCUGCGCAGUUCAGACGUAAGGAGACCAUGCUAUGGAAUAGAUCGCGUUCUGUCAAUUCAGAGGACAGGAAUGAUCUGCAGCUGCAUUUGAACAUAUUUGGUGACUACAUCUCAAAGAUGACCAAGAGAGAGGAUCGAGCUAUGACUUUGCACAUCCCAUCGACUUCGGUGUUCACCAGUGCAAUCAUCAGAAGAGCCAGGCAAUUCUAGUAUUCAAGUAUUUCAUUCUGUAAUACUUACCUCAAAAUUUACUAAAUAAAGAAAACCGCAUGUGGCAGUUGGUUAAAAAAAUCAA